AGGACGAACGCUGGCGGCGUGCCUAACACAUGCAAGUCGAGCGGGGACAUACGACGGAGUCAAAGUUUCGGAUGGAGACGAAGAUGUAUGUUCUAGCGGCGGACGGGUGAGUAACGCGUGAGCAACCUGUCCCUUACAGGGGGAUAACACAGCGAAAGUUGUACUAAUACCGCAUGAGACCACGGGGAGACAUCUUCCAGGGGUCAAAGGAGCAAUCCGGUAAGGGGUGGGCUCGCGUCCGAUUAGAUAGUUGGUGAGGUAACGGCCCACCAAGUCGACGAUCGGUAGCCGACCUGAGAGGGUGAUCGGCCACAUUGGGACUGAGACACGGCCCAAACCCCUACGGGAGGCAGCAGUGGGGAAUAUUGGGCAAUGGGGGAAACCCUGACCCAGCAACGCCGCGUGAGGGAAGAAGGUUUUCGGAUCGUAAACCUCUGUCCUUGGUGAAGAGGAAGAGACGGUAGCCAAGGAGGAAGCCCCGGCUAACUACGUGCCAGCAGCAGC
rnacentral:rRNA from 1 species